AUUUUUUAAAUGCAUGUAUUUUUAAACUUUUGCAAUCAAUAAGUAGUGGGACCAAGUUAUGUAAGAUUCAUGUGGGCCGAGAUUGUUUAAUCCACUCACUUUUAUGCCGAGGGCCAAGCCUGUCGAGAAGAGGCCCACUAAUUAAUGGACAAUACGACGUCGUGGCGCGUGGGUUUAGAUUUUUAUUUCGGCGAGUGGAAAAAAAAUCAUCGGAAAUUCAGGAUGAAUCCGGUGACGGGGAAUGGUGGUGGUCGGACAAAAAUGCAGAAAUUGGUAGUGGUGGCGGUCGAUCGCCUCUUCCACCACGACCGUUGUGUCAAGCGCACCUCAAAAUACAUGUCUCGCGAGGAGGACAAUCAAUUCAACAAUGGCGAUCGAGAUGAAAGUCGGUGAGGUUGAAUCCUUCACGGCCGCUCAGCUAGCGGGAUCACUUGUUCGUGGCGGUAUGCCGCCUUCUCUCGAUGAUAUUUCAAAGCGGCGAGGCAUGUGAGUUGAUUUUGGUUUCACUUUUUUUUUGCCCCCUAAUACUGGGUGAGUUGGUUUUUGUUGUGUUUCAUGUUUUAAUUGCAUGUUGUAAUUUAUGAAUGUGGGGAACAAACGGUUGGAGUGGUACUGUUGUAAUUAAUUGGCUUGUUGAAAAAUUGGGAAGAUAAAAUGUGUUUGU